GAUGAAGAACGUAGCGAAAUGCGAUAAGUAGUGUGAAUUGCAGAAUUCAGUGAAUCAUCGAAUCUUUGAACGCACAUUGCGCCCCUCGGUAUUCCGUGGGGCACGCCUGUUCGAGCGUCAUUUACACCCUCAAGCGCAGCUUGGUGUUGGGCGUCUGUCCCGCUCUCCGUAGCGCGGACUCGCCUCAAAGUCAUUGGCGGCGGUCGUGCCGGCUCCUCGCGCAGCACAUUUGCGCUUCUCGGAGGCCCGGCGGAUCGGCAUCCAGCAAGCUACUUUUUAUGACUUGACCUCGGAUCAGGUGAGGAUACCCGCUGAACUUAAGCAUAUCAAUAAGGGAGGA
rnacentral:misc_RNA from 1 species